rnacentral:rRNA from 1 species
AGAAUCAACGCUGGCGGCGUGCCUCAGACAUGCAAGUCGAACGCGAAAGUCCCCUUCGGGGGGCAAGUAGAGUGGCGCACGGGUGAGUAACACGUAGGUAAUCUACCUUCGGAUGGGGAAUAACAAUCGGAAACGGUUGCUAAUACCGCAUAAUGCAGCGGCACCUAAUGGUGACAGUUGUUAAAGCGGGGGAUCGAAAGACCUCGCGUCUGAAGAGGAGCCUGGCGGCGGAUUAGCUAGUUGGUAAGGUAACGGCUUACCAAGGCGACGAUCC